rnacentral:lncRNA from 1 species
AUGAUUGCAGUUAAACCGGACGUGCCUAGAGAAGCACUACAAGGUGGAAAGAGUGUUUUAUCAGAAAUUAAGAAUUUAUUUGCAUCUGUCUCUUCAGAUGGUCUGGGAUUAGGUGCAGGGCUGUACGCAUUGACCAACACAGUAGAGAGGAGAGCUCAGAAACGGACCAGUGCCCAAAUGGAAAUCUUGUUUAUGACUGAGACGGCAUGGACCCUGUGCGUUGGUUGGGAAAAGAUAAGCUUCUCAAUAAAAGAGCAAUCAAAUGAAAUGUCCCCUGGGUUUCCUAAUCGAAGCUGUCUGCUCUGCCUUUGUGUUAGAAACGUGGGUUUCAAUACGUGUUCCUGUGUGACCAUAAGUUUCCCCAUCCUAAAAAGUCAAGACAUUUAUGAAUAUGGAAACCUGUAACUCAACAUCUUCAGUUUCCGGAGGAAGAAAAAUCUCCCCCAUAAAACCUGUGAGGGUUGCAAACGAACGGGGAAGGAGGUAAAGCAGAAGCCAUAGCAGUGGUGGGAAAAACAGAACUAACACUGAGAAAAAGUGUUAACACUCAUUAAUGGUACAUUCUGAUUAAAAUUUUGAUAGCACGUUGAUCCUUGAUCUUUCAAAAUAGAAACGUGCUGUUAAAUAGUAUUUUCAAGGAAAAUCUGGGCUGUCCAAUGCACUUGUUUAGUCAGAUGUCAAAAAAAAGUUGAAAUUAACCCUUGGUGCCACUUUUUCCUUUUUCUUCAAAAACGUACUACCUAAAUCUCACUUUUCCCCCCCAAAGUCCAAACCUUUUGAAAUGGAAAAGGACCAGUCUGAUAAAAAAAGUUUUUAUUAUUGGAAAUUGCAAGCUUGGGUCAUCUCUGAAAUUUCCUACUAGAAAAGUCACAGGUACCACCAGGGCUUUCAGGUUUGGAAGGGACUUCUUGCAUAAAUCAAGGUAUAAAUAAUAUGAAAGACAAUGUAGAAUUUCUUGACUGAGGCACCUACAGGGGUUCGCUUAUUUCUUUUGCACUUAGAGCAAAUCUCUUUACUUUUAUGGUUUCUUACUGCCCUUUUUCUGAAGGUGAUCAAUUUAGAAAGCAUUUUGUUAUGCACUGGAAUAGGAACUUCCAAAAGUUCAUAAUUAUAUACGUUACUCAUACAUGUAUCAAGAAUUGCAUGUUAAAUGUUUUCACUUUUUUUUUUUGGCAGGGUUAAUACUUUAUGCAAAAAUAAUCCCACUGAGUUCUUUGAGUGGUUGAUAAUUUGUCUCAAAUAGUGGAUAUAUAUUUUUCUACCCUACCUGCCAAUGUGAACAGAUUCUAGGUUUUUGAGACCCAUCAUAUCUCUGCUUGAAACAUUUUGAAUACCAACUCCAAAAACUCGACAUUAAUAAAACAUUAAAGUUCCAACUUAAGCCCA